GAUGAACGCUGGCGGCGUGCCUAAUACAUGCAAGUCGAGCGAACGGACGAGAAGCUUGCUUCUCUGAUGUUAGCGGCGGACGGGUGAGUAACACGUGGAUAACCUACCUAUAAGACUGGGAUAACUUCGGGAAACCGUAGCUAAUACCGGAUAAUAUUUUGAACCGCAUGGUUCAAAAGUGAAAGACGGUCUUGCAGUCACUUAUAGAUGGAUCCGCGCUGCAUUAGCUAGUUGGUAAGGUAACGGCUUACCAAGGCAACGAUGCAUAGCCGACCUGAGAGGGUGAUCGGCCACACUGGAACUGAGACACGGUCCAAACUCCUACGGGAGGCAGCAGUAGGGAAUCUUCCGCAAUGGGCGAAAGCCUGACGGAGAAACGCCGCGUGAGUGAUGAAGGUCUUCGGAUCGUAAAACUCUGUUAUUAGGGAAGAACAUAUGUGUAAGUAACUGUGCACAUCUUGACGGUACCUAAUCAGAAAGCCACGGCUAACUACGU
rnacentral:rRNA from 1 species